AGGGCGGGGAGGAGUUUGCGAGGGGAGGCGCUUGCAGGGGCUCCCCCAGUUCUGCGCUGUGAGCCCGGCACAAAGAGCCCUCUGCACUCGCGUGGCAGGACCGCGGACCCGAGGUGAGCCGCCGCCCCAUCUUGGCAGCCCUGCCUCCCCAGAAGCAGCCUGAUGCCCCAGGCCCAGGCCGAAGAGGUCCAGCGUCCCGCGCGGCUCCAGAGGAAGGGAGAGGGCCGGAAAACUAGCUCCGGGGAGAAGAAUCAUGACAUCGGGAGUGACAGUAACAGCGCCUCAGUCUUUGGAGAGCCUCCUCUGCGCCAGCAACGUGCUCAGCGCUUUGCAUGUCUGAUCACAAGAGGCCCACGCGGUGCUGGAGGCAUCUAUCUAUCUCCCUGUCCACGAUGUGGUUCCAGACAAGCUCAGCGUGGCUGCUGUGACUCUUAACAGCAGCAAAGGAGUGCCCACGGUGGCCCUUCCUCUCCUUCCGGGCACCCACGGGGCGGUGGACACCAGCUUCUUGCCAUGCAGUCAGGUCACCGUGAAAUGCACAUAUGCAGAGACCUCCUGAAUCUUUGGGGCAAGUCCCUCAAUCAAAGCAUGCCUGAUGGGACCUGUGACCUUGACUUGAGAUUUGCCUUUUCUGGACAUUGCAUAUAAAUGGAGUCGUACAGCAGGUGGUCUCUUGUGCCUGUUUAAUAUUUUUGAAGUUUGUCCAUGUCAAAAAUGCAGCAAGUUCCUGGGACAGAGGAGAGAGAAGGGAGUUUCGGAGUCCUUCCUGCUGUUUGCAACCACACUGGGAAGCAGCCUUGCAGAUAAGUAUUCAGAUGUACCAGCCCACCGCCUACCAGCCUGCCCUCUCCUAGUCUGUGCCGGUGGGGGGGAAGUAUGGUAACCCAGAAUCCCCAAGUGGGAGCGGAAAUUGGUGAUGCUGUUCAUUUACUUUUCUACCUCUAGGCUGCAAAGAGAGAACUUGUCCAUGGAACCCCAGAAAGGGUAAUUUUCACGCCAUACUUUUUGGCAUUGAAGCUAGUAUUUUAUAAAUCCACCCCCAGGGACUUCUGCAGAGUUGAGUUUAAUUACUUCAUUUUUGGUGCCUGUAGGUUUGGUGUCGGAAGGAGUUUGGGCGGCCUGGUGGUUUAGGCCGGCUCUUCUCAGUUCUGGCCCUUCGUCCUCGCAUUCAUAAAACUUGGCCAGGGCUCUUUUGCUGGGCAGUCAAGCAGGGACGCCCGCACUGUGAAUACAGGGCAUCUUCUUCUCAGUGGAAGGGUCUGAAUACAUCUCCAGCUCUGGACUUGUGCCCCCAGUCCCAGGUGCCGACAGCAAGCCCUGCAAAUAUACUGAGAAGGCUCCUGCCAGGUGAUGAAGAUAGCUUAGUUCUCACCAAAAGUGAAACCUGGGUGGUGGUCCUAAGUCAGGAUGAAUAGGUAGAAAAUGGGGCUGAGCAAAAGGCCCCCCCAUGGCCAUUUCCCAGCCACUGCCUCAAACCAUGGGUUCCUAUAAUGCGCUGUGGGUGGAAAUCUGGGAUGGAAGGAUCCCAGGGUUCAGAGAGAGGGACAGACUUCCCAGGGCUGCAGAGCACGGCAGAGCUGGGACCAGAACUUGUCGGGAUUCCUGACUGCUCGGGGCCUCCACUCAGUGUUUCCAAACUGAGUUUGUCUUACUUUGUCUUGGGUCACAUUCUGCUGCUGUUGGGGAGCAGGCAGGUGGGUGGAGGGAUCUCUCCUCUGCCCCAAAGGACGUUUGAAGGUGCGGGGAAGGGAGGGCGAAGGUGGUGUUCUCAGGCCGGCCUCCCUGGCUCCCAGAAGGCUGGAUCCUGUCCCACUCAGGCCGCCACACACACACACACACACACACACAUGUGCACACACGAGCAUCCUUGUUAGCAGAGCUCUGAGCAGGCCUGGGUGUGGGGAGGGGGCCUGGAUGCAGUUUUCUCCUGUGCCGGGGUUGGCUCUUUUGUCUUCCAGGUUGGGGUCUACUUGGGGAAGGAGCUGGGAGCUGGGCCUGGGCUGCCAACCUGUUGGCUGGGCGCUGCCAGGGUGAGUGGGCUCCUGGCAAAGAUUUCAGCACAUUCCUUCAUUCGGCACAAACAUGGACCAUGCACCUUUUCCAAGCUAGAUGCUGGGGAUCCCAAGGUGAACACCAGAGUCACGGUCUCGCCCUCUAGGAUCUUGACGUAAGAAGUUUCUUCUGAAAGUUAUCAGUGUCCAAAGCACUCACCCUGCCUGUCUGGUUUCUGGGGCACAGGAGGGCAACUGAGGGCCCCUGAAAGGUGGCUCGGCCUGCCGCAUCUCUGGGACCUCGGCCUAGUCUUCUCCUCGGAGCCCGGUGACGGACUCCGGCUGCAGUGGUGCAGAGAGCCACCUCGGGUGGCCUUCUGUAACCUUGGACAAUUCCCCGAAGACCUCAUCCUUCCCAGCUUCUGAGAUGGAGCUGCCUAUGGCGCAAGGCCUGUUCAGGCCCGCGGAGGGCAGGGCCUCUGGUCUGGAGGGCAGCGUGAGGGCUGUGAGGGAGGCCGGCAGCCCGCCACCCCUCCAUGCCUGCCUGGACCCUCCCACGGCCCUUACCAGGCCCUGCGCCCGGAGGUCGCUUCCUCACCCCAUGCAGACUUGCUUCCCCUUGCGGACCUGCAGGUGACCAGACAGCGCUCGGCCUAGGCCAAGGCCCCACUGACAGCAUGCUUCUCAGGGCCGGCCCGGAAGGACUCCACACUGGGCUGGGGGAGGGGCGAAGGGAACGGGCACCCACAGCUCCAGCCCCCAGCGGGAGUCUGUCUCAUGCCGUUUGCCUUGCGAGUGCUUCUCAUUUUUGUGGGUGCUUUUCCGUGCUCCUCUUUGUGACGGUCACAAGGAAGACGCAGUCAGGGCCUGGAGGAGCCUGGGCCGUCCCUUGUGUAGCUGAGCUCUGGGGGGGGUGGCUGGAGGGGCAGAGGGUGGGCUAUCUUGAAAGGGGAGGGUUUCCAAGAGAUGAGGAGGUCCAGGCCAGGGCAGAUCUCCCAGAGGCAGACCCCUCGUUCCCUCCAUCCAGAGGGGAUGGGCUGGAACCAGCCUCUGCCAACGCUUAAGAGGUCACCCCAGCCCAACUCCCUCGAUUCUGGCCUUGGGGGGCAAAGGCAGGCAGAGCCAGCCUCAGGCACAGGAGCUGCCCCAUCACAUGCUGUAGGGGCACCUCCACGCCUGUCACCAAACCAAACAGACCUGGGCCCACCUGCCUGAUGUGCACCCAAGCCAAACCCUGAUACUGGGAUGCAGUGAAAGAAAGUAAGCAUUUACUGCAGGGGGCCCUGCAAGGGGAAUGGAGCUCAUGCUCAGGGUCCUGAACUCUCCAUAGGGUUACAAGCAGGGUUUUUUAAGGGAAAAUUGUGGGCAAAGGUUGCUGGGCAGGUGAUCAGCUCAUGCAUGUCUUUAUGUUGGUGAGUGGUGAGGUGAAAAGGGAUGGUUUCAGGAAUCUUAGAUGUCAGUCUUCUGGCCCCACCCAAUCUGGGGUCUAUUAGCUUGCCAGGGUGGCCCAUCUGGUGGGGGGUCUGAAUUCCUACAAGCCAUCUCAAGGAUACAGGGGUCUGGAGCUUACCUGUAGCCUUGAGGGGGCACUAAGAGUCCUGUGUCUGUUUCGUUUGCUUUACCUUGAUUUGCAAACUCCUAUUUUCUUGAAUCUCUAACUACCUGGUCUAAUUCCCACACUCUGGGUCAUUAUUAAGGGACCUGGGCUUUGUUAAUGACAAAUGUGAAGGGCUUCAUCCAAAGGGGGGGCUCUCUGUGCAGUUACAGGCCCACCUUUCCAUUCUCCACAUGUUCUACCUCCCUACAGAAGGGAUGGGCCCAGGGCUUGCCCAAGAGUAGCCCACGGCUUUUCUUAGGCAAGUUUAAAAGGUGGAUGGCUUUGUCCCCAGGAUGGAGGUCUGCAUUAGUCUACCUGGCAGCCGUAACAGAAUACCGCAGGCUGGGGGACUUCAACAGCAGAAAUGUGUUUUCUUACAGUUCUGGAGGCUGGAAGUCCAAGAUCAAGGUGCCGGCAGGGUUCAUUCCUUUUGAGUCCUCGCUCCUGAGCUUGCGGAUGGCCAACUUCCUGCCAUGUCCUCACCCGGCCUUUUCUUUGUGCACACACCCAGAGCAAGGUGGGGAGAGGGAGAUCUGGUGUCUCUUUCUUUUUUCAUAAGGCCAGCAGUCCUGUCGGAUCAGGGCCCCACCCUUAUGACCUCUUUAAUCUUAGUAUCCUCCACAAACACCGUAUCUACAAAUAUAGUCAUGUUGGGGGGUAUGGCUUCAACCUGUGACUUUGGGGAGGGAUGUGGUCAGUCCACAGCAGGAGGUCACUGCAAACAGGGAAAUCUGGAGCCAUCUCCCCUUUGGAGUCCCCACCCCCACAGGGAGGGGAAGGUAGAGCAGGGGCAUGGGGAGUAGAAACCGCGCGGGCAGCACUGUGCCAGUGUGGUCCCAGUGCCUUGGGGACACACGGGACUGGCUGGACCCAGUGUAGGAGAGGGGUGUCCUGGGAGGAGCGAGGGCUUUGGAGCCUGAGGGUGCACACCAUGUGGUGCAGCCUGGGGCAAGUCACCUCACUGAGUCUGAUCUCCGUACCGAAACAGGAGCCGACUGCCCGCUAGGGUUGCAGGGAGGGUCAGCGCAGGCACGUGACUGCGCAGUGCCAGCCUCUUAGUAGGUACUCACUGAUGCUUCCAUCCAUCUGGGAGUUUAGAUUCAAGGCUUAUUUGCUUUCAUUGCUCUGCACGGUGAACUUGGCGUCUUCUCAUCCAGAGGCACUCCUGGCUAGCCUUCCCACUGCCUGAUUUCUUUAUUCCCCUCUACUCAGUGUGGGGAAGUGGCUGCCCUUUAUGCCUGCAUGGUAGCUCCAAAUGGUUUCAGGGGUAUUUAAAUUCUACUCUUCUCAUCAGGAUUGAGCACCUACUACGGGCCUGUCUUUGUGCCACUUAACUCGGGGAGAUGCAGGUAAAGAUCUGACCAUGUGUCAAACCUUCAGGAUUUCAUAGCCAUGCUGAGUGGGACAAACCCAGCUUACAUGGGGAACUGAAGAAUGGGGUUAGAAAACAAGUCUAUGGAGUUCUGAGUGCUUAGGGGGGUUGUAGUAAGAUCCUAGAGUGGGCGGGGCAGACUUUCCAGCAAGCUUGAGCCACCCAGGGCCUUGAAAGAUGAGAAAGAGAUGGAUUAGCUGAGAGCUUCCAGGGGGAAACUGGAGCAGAGACUCCCAAAGUAAGUUCUAGGAGAUGUAGUUGCUCCAAAAAAAAAACAAGUUCAAAUCCUGCAGAUUGCUAUAGUGCAGGACUUAUCAGAGCCUUCAAAAUGUUGAUGGGAAUUGUGAAUACUCAAGGACAGACAGAAAGGAUUAAGUGUCCCUCUCUUCCCCCAAACUUUAGGGGUAAUAGAACCCUUUUCUUAUGGAGCAUCAGUUGGAAUGGUGUCAGCUGUUGGGCUGGGGCUUCUGCGGGAAAAUGACGUGGGUGAUAGGAGAUGACAUAACCAGGAUGUGGGUUUGUAACGUGGGCUGGAAAGGCAGCAGACCAGGAGGUGCUGGGUAGUCUGAACCUGGUUCCAGGAGCCAGUCAUGUGCUAUGCAGUUUUGGUACCGGGGAGAGCAGGCUCGAGGCUGGAGUAGCCAGGCACUUGUGGCUGGUGAUGGAGGACCUGUCUACUGAACACAGUGGCCCUGGGGCAUCAGACCUCUUGUGGGAAGAUGCUCGUGUGUGCACAUGUGUGUGUGUGUGUGUGUGUGUGUGUGUGUGUGGCGGCCUGAGUGGGACAGGAUCCAGCCUUCUGGGAGGGGGCUGACCAGAACCGGGCAGGGCUUUCCAGCCAAGACAAGUGGGGUCUAUUGCCAGGGAGCUGGAAUGUUUGUGGGGAGGGCCUCUGAGGCCCACGGCCAGGAAAUUGGGAAACAAAACACUUCGGAAGGAUCCAUGUGGAUGGGCUUGAUUCUGGGGGCGCUGAGGUGUGCGGAUGCCCUGUGCUGGUCAGGCCCAGCUCCCUGGCUGGUUGGGGCGGGACAGCCCCAGGCAGUGUUGCAUGGUGUGAUUAACCUACUAACCCAGGGCUCGGCCAGGACGCUGUGGCGGGUGACGAGGUGCCUGGCCUUCUGCCGACCAACUAACCCACUAACCAGGCCCGAGCAUGCCCUACUAACCCCCCGCAGCCAGACCCUACUAACCCUGGUAGCUCAUAGACCUCUCAGAGGGCCAGGACAUUGGGGCGGACGAAGCCCCAGAAGGCCCUGCCCUUGGUCUGGGAUCUGUGUGCAGAACCGCAUUCUGGGACAGGGCAUGCAAACAGGACUUGCCAACUCUGCCACUUGCUGCUGGGUGACUUCGAGCAAACCACCCGGCCUAUCUGAACCUGUUUCCUCAGCAGCUGAUCUUUACCUCACAGGGUGCAGUGAGGAUUCUCCUGACUAAAAAAAGGCCUUAACACAUGGCAGAUACUUAAAAAAACUUAAGGAUGAGGGUAGGGGUGGGAGGCUCAGAAAACCUGAUUGAACAUGUUCCCUGCCUGGCCCUGGUCGCUCUGGGUGUUCUGCACACAGACUCCUCUGCCUGGGGCCAGAUUGCUUUGAACCCUAACCGUCUCUUCCCCACAUUCUUCCUCUUUCUCAGUUUUCUUUUCCGUAGGAAGCUCUUUUGUUCGAUUACUAACCUGUUUAACCCGGGGGUGCCUCCAGUCACCCUGACCCCCCCUUAACAGACUAACGGACCUGUGUGUAUUCUUCCUUUUCUCCUAGUGACUCCUAUGUGUGUCUGCUGAGGUGCCCCUGUCUGCUGGUGCUGUGCUCAGCCUUACUAACCCAGCCCCUACUAACCCUGUUUUAUUUUCUUACUAACCCAGCCCUGCCGAGCUCUGGGCCCCCGUGGGGGGUUCUCCUCCUUCUGGCAAGCAGAUGUCCUGGGGGCUGGCCCUGCAGACAGAUGCCCCCCAAUUUGCUGCCUCAAUUGGCUGUGAGUUCAGAGUCCACUGGGCCUGGUCUGAGGUGGGAGCCAGCCCUGUUGGCCACACCAGUGGCCCAGAAGAGGAGGAAGUCAUGAGAACGUGGGAGGCUGCCCUCUGGGCAAGAGCAUCUCUCCUCUGUGCCUAAAUCUGGUUGCCACUUGGAGCCGGUGGGACCAGGGAACCCUCUGGGUGUGAGUAGAAGGCCUGUGAGUCUAGAGUAUGGAGCACUGGGCUUUUCCUGGACCCAUGUGUCCUUCGGAAGGAAGAGAGAGUAGAAUUUCCUCCACUGGAACGUGGCAGGUAGUGUCACGGUCCUGCACAGGAAUCAGUGGGGACCAUGCCGGAAGUCGGCCGAGGGGCAUGUCCCAUGCUGGAAGUCAGUCCAAGGAGACUUCCCCACAUUAGAAGUCAAAGACGGGCUUUUCCUGCAGUGGAAAUAACUGAGUGGAGCAUUUGGUACAGGAAGUCACCCAGAGGGGUCAUUUCUCAUAUUUCAAGGCUGAGAAGAGGGGCAUUUCUUACACUGGGGUCCUGGAGGGGGCAUUUCCCACCUUGUCACAAGGCAUGAGAAGGAAUGGCCAAAAGACCAGAGAGAGGGGCUUUUUCUACAACAGGAAGUCGGCUAGAGGGGCCCUUCCAUACUUCCGCACCGGAAGUAGAUGUGGGUGGUUUUCAUAGCCGUGGGCUUUGUGAAGGGUUGUGCACACCAGGAAGCUUGAGAAGGCAGGGAAAGGAACAUGUGUCCUGGGUUCGAGGUUUGCAGGGGGAGGAAGUGGGAAAGAAGAGAUGAACUCCAGGGCCUCACAGGGUCCCUGCAGCCCCCUCUGGCCAGCCAGGAAUUCAUCCAGGCCCCUGCUCCAGCCGGCCUUCCCCAGAGCCCGCCAGCCGCUAAGCCAGGGCCACACCUGGGGGUGAUUUGAUGCUCACCUCCAGUAGGCACCUUGGUCUCUUUGGGCUAAUCUCUGGCUCCCUCGCACUAACUCUCGCUCUCACCCAGCUAAUUCCUGCCUCGCCCUGGCUGCCCUGGGGCUUCCCACUAACAGCCAACCCUGCCCGUCUGGGAGCUGCGGGCUCCUGGCCUGGCUCUGAACCUCUCCUUUACUUUCCUAACUCCUGCCCUCCUGGUCUGUUCCUUUCAGAAACUAACGGCUUGUGGAUUUCCUUCCGACUAACAACAGGUCUAACACUCCCCUUACCGUUAUGAUUAACAGCUUGGAUGUCGGCAUGGCUGGGAUGGGGCUAAACCUGGUUUGAAACUUGACUAACAGGGAAAGGUGUAGCUAGUGGUGUUGGAUUUGGUGACUGCUUUGUCCAAAGCAAUCAGAAGUCAAGAAAGAUUGGAGUACUCUAAAGGAGGUGCCAGGGAUGGGGUGUGACCCAGGCCUGAUGGACGAGUGGCACCCACUGACGUGGGGUCAGAAGCAUAGUCAGCCUUCCAAGGUCUUGGCCACUGGACAUAUCCUAGCAACCCCUCAUAAUUAGCAUUUUUUUUUUAAAACAAACAAUAGCCUCAUAACUGCAGUAGUCCAGAUGAGUGGAUGCAACUCUUGUAGACCUCAAAACACCUGCCUGGUGUUCAAAGAAUAUGCCAUUAUGCAUGGAAUCAUUGGUCACCAGGCCAGGGCCUGGAGUCCUUGAUUUAGGGACUUAGGAGUUUUGGAAGCCCUGGGACAUAAAGCUUUAGAUUGAAAUAUGCAGCAGGGUUAUAAAUCCAUCACCUUUUUACACCGUGGUGUAAAUUAGCUCAGCCUCCUCUUCUAUCUUCUGUACAAUGUAAUUGUACUAAGGGGACGACGUGGCUGGAAGGGAGUUCGGAUCUCUUCAGGGCUGCAGGAGGCCCCUUGAGAUCCGAGAGGGGGCGCCAGGAGGCCAGGGGUUCCUGGGUGGGAGUAUAAAGUGGCAUCAGGUCGAGGGGAGGGAUGAGAAAAGGGACCUGUUUUGCUAGCUCAGUCUGGUAGGCAGGGUCUGUGGGAAAGGGCGGUUUAUGGCAGGUCCCGGAGGACUGGAUCAGCUCAGGGUUGGUCAGAGGCCAGCCGAGAGGCUUUGUGGGCAGGUUGCUGGGUCACUGAAUGCUGGUUCGGGGCUGAGAGCCUCUCUGGUAGCCAUGGGCUCAGAGCUAACGGAGUGGAACUGGCAGUGAGACCUGAAGGGUGAUCCAGAAACCUGAGCUGUGAAAGGAAAAAGGAGAAGGCAUGGGGAAGAGCCUGGAGAAGGUACAUAGGCCAUGGGCAGGGAUGGGGCUGAGCCUGCACCUUGGAGGCACCUCCCUGCCGCCCUCUACUGGCUGCCUUGCUCCACUUCACCCCCAAGCAGGAAGCCCAGAUACUUCCCAUUUUUUUCUCAACUACCGAGAUUUGAUGCCGAGCACCUACGGUGUGCCCGGCACUCUCUGGGUGCUGGGACCCAUACAUAGGCCUUUACAUCAUGGUGCUUAUAUAGCUCAGAAGGGGAGAUGGAGAAGUAAGCAGACAGUGCAGUGAGAUGGGUGCUGUAAUAGGGCUGGUCGGGGCUGUGGAAGCACCCAGACCGAUAAGAAUGGCAUGCACUUAGUCUGUGCCAGGCGCAAUGCCAGGCAAUGGGGAUGAGUGGUGAUUAAACACCAGCUGGUCUCCAAGAGCAUCAGUGAUAGUGUGUCAGGUGGGUGCAGGAUGGAGUGGAUAGGCAGUCAGGCUUUCUGAAGAGGGAGACGUGCGCUGACCCGAGUUCCAGGCAGCAGGAGUGGUGGUUCUGGAAGAGGUUCUGCAAGGCUCAGGGGGAGAGGAGCAGGAGACAGACAGGAAAUGGACAAGGACCAGGCCUAGUUGCCAGGGCAUUUGGGCUUUGUUCUGAGGGCAAUGGGGAGCCAUAGAUGUCUCUGAGGAGGGGAGAUGUUAGGUCUGAGUUUUAGGCUGACAUUUUGGUGUUUCAGCCCACAUGGAAUAUUGAGAAGCAUGUAAUGAAUUCUGGUCAAACUUAGAUAACUGAUAAGAACUUUUUGAAAGUAGGGGAACCCUUAGAUCCAUCUUGAGAUGAAACAGGACCCAGACACCUUUGCCCCAGUUGGGGAUAGUGCUGCAAUGACUGGAAAGCAAAGAGGGCUGUGUUCAUGCCAGGCAGGGGCUUGGCUGGGAUGGCAGUGACACCGUGGAAGAGAAGCACCUUUGAAAGCAUGUCCCUCCAGGCCCCUGGUGGUAUGCAGUGCGAAUCUGAAGGGAUGUGGUCAUGGGCUGCCAGUCUGCAGGAGGGUCCCCUAGGAGGAGCCCAUUUGUCCUUUGUGGCUGCAGGGGGACACGUAAGUGUGGCAUAAGCUUCCGAGAGACUGAUCCUGGUCCCAGGAAGGGGAAAAUGUAUCUUGGUGGCUUACAAACCUUCUGUCCCUGGAGGCAGAAAGAUUGGAACUGGGCCACCUUUGGGACAGAUGAUGGUGGUGAGAUCCUAGGAUUGUGAGUAUGAGUGUAUGUGUGUGCAUGCACAUGUGUGUCUUCAGCUUAAUACUAGAAAAGCUGAGCCAAGGAGGCACGCUCUGUUUACCCCCUGACUGAGGUUCACCCUGAUGUUUGCUCCACUGAACAUCGAGCUCACUAGGAGCAGGACCUCAUGGGCUAGGGACUAGGCCUCCUGGUCUGAAGACGCGUCUUCAUCCUUGAAUGGGUGGUGUGGAGGGAGUGGCCACUGGGCACCUGCUGGAGGCUGAGCUGGCAUAAAUAAUGACAUUGAAUUGGGGGGAUUCCUGGAAGGAGCACCGGUCUCAUUCCAACACAGGACAUCAAAGGCCCUCUUGAGAGUUUAUCUAAGGACCCAUUGUUUUACUUUAACAGAGCAGAAAUGUUUUCCAUGUCACUGCCUGCUGGGGAUGCUGAAUGUGGGGACAGAAAUUCCGCUGUAGAUUAAAAAUCAGAUUUUGAUAUGGAUCCAGCAAUGGAAUGUAAACUUGGCUUUUUGUUUCCACCCAUGAAUGUAGCUUCUGUGUAAAAAAAAUAUUGAUAUUAAAAACAAAUUUACACUCAAA